UACGUAGGUGGCAAGCGUUGCUCGGAAUCACUGGGCGUAAAGGGCGCGUAGGCGGACUCUUAAGUCGGGGGUGAAAGCCCAGGGCUCAACCCUGGAAUUGCCUUCGAUACUGAGAGUCUUGAGUUCGGAAGAGGUUGGUGGAACUGCGAGUGUAGAGGUGAAAUUCGUAGAUAUUCGCAAGAACACCAGUGGCGAAGGCGGCCAACUGGUCCGAUACUG
rnacentral:rRNA from 1 species